rnacentral:lncRNA from 10 species
GAGUCUCUUUGGGCCAGCCGGGCUGCUGCAGACAGACAGGAAGCACGCCUGACGCUCCUCUACCCUCGGGCAGCACAGCGGGGCUGGGACUCACUCUAGCUUGCCCAGCAACUUGCUUUCCUGUGUGAACUCUGGCAGGCUGCCCUCUCUGUGCAAAGCUGCCACUGGGGCCUGCUCAGGGUGGCCUGGAACUUGGAGGUGGGCAGUCAGGGCCUAGGAUGGGCCUGUGUCACCAGGGCAUGUGCCCUUGGGCCAGUUACUUCCUCUCAGAGCCUUGGGCUCCUCCUCUGAGGAUGGGGCUUGUUGGUGUGAAAUGAGGUGAGCAUGUUGAGUUGGGGAGCAGCAGGACACGCACCUGCAGGCAGCCGCCCUGGCCACGCUCCCUCCCUACCUUCCGAGUCCUGGGACAGACACAGUAGAGCACAGCGGGCCAGCCUGCUCUCUUCUCUGUCUACUUUUUGCAGAAGAGUCAACAGAUACAACAGGCCCAGGGAGGUGCCCCUGGGGGCCCCAGUCCCCAUCACUCCAAGGGGCAGUCCUGCAAGUGACAAGGUGGGCCCAAUCCCUGUGGAACAGGUCUCUGAGGACCACAGAGUGGGGCCCCAGGGAAAGCUGGGAGCCGAGCUAGAGGCAGGCAGCAAGUAAGGGCCAAGCUGUGCCCCUGCCCGGAAGACCUUCCUGCCCCCAGAACCCGACCCUCCGCAGAUAGCCCUCCCUGGGCAGCAGCCCCCCAGCUUCCAAGGCCCGUGCCUCACCAGACGCCAUGCUCUCACGGACUUGUUUGCUGCUCUGUACCCUGCAGAUCUGCCCCAGAGGAGCAGGUGAAAAGCCGCGCCUGCCGAGGUGCUGUGGCGGUGGAGUUUUGGGCAGAGGAGUGGGGGGAAGAGUUUCUCACUUUUAAGAUUCUCCAAAUCCAAGAUGAAGUCAUGCUGUGCUUUGGAAUGGUAGAUGCUCAUUUAUGUAAAAUCAUAAUAAAUGUUACACAAACUGUUA